rnacentral:rRNA from 1 species
CAGCAGCCGCGGUAAUACGUAGGGUGCGAGCGUUAAUCGGAAUUACUGGGCGUAAAGGGUGCGCAGGCGGUUUUGUAAGUCAGAUGUGAAAUCCCCGGGCUUAACCUGGGAACUGCGUUUGAAACUACAAGACUAGAGUGUAGCAGAGGGGGGUGGAAUUCCACGUGUAGCAGUGAAAUGCGUAGAGAUGUGGAGGAACACCAAUGGCGAAGGCAGCCCCCUGGGUUAACACUGACGCUCAGGCACGAAAGCGUGGGGAGCAAACAGGAUUAGAUACCCUGGUAGUCCACGCCCUAAACUAUGUCAACUAGUUGUCGGGCCUUAACGGGUUUGGUAACGUAGCUAACGCCAUUAAGU